ACGCUCGACACCUACGGAGGCAGCAGUGGGGGAUAUUGCACAAUGGGGGAAACCCUGAUGCAGCAACGCCGCGUGAAGGAAGAAGGUCUUCGGAUUGUAAACUUCUGUCCUCAGGGAAGAUAAUGACGGUACCUGAGGAGGAAGCUCCGGCUAACUACGUGUCAGCAGCCGCGGUAAUCUGAGCGGGCUGGCAAGGC
rnacentral:rRNA from 1 species